UACGUAGGGUGCAAGCGCUGUCCGGAAUUAUUGGGCGUAAAGAGCUCGUAGGCGGUCUGUCGCGUCGGCUGUGAAAACCCGGGGCUCAACCCCGGGCCUGCAGUCGAUACGGGCAGACUAGAGUGCGGUAGGGGAGAUUGGAAUUCCUGGUGUAGUGGUGAAAUGCGUAGAGAUCGGGAGGAACACCUGUGGCGAAGGCGGCCGACUGGGCCGACCCUGACGCUGAGGCGCGAAGGCGUGGGGAGCGAACGGG
rnacentral:rRNA from 1 species